GACGAACGCUGGCGGCGUGCUUAACACAUGCAAGUCGAACGGUGAAGCGCCUUCCUUUUUGGUGGGUGUGGAUGAGUGGCGAACGGGUGAGUAACACGUGAGUAACCUGCCCCCUUCUUCUGGAUAACCGCAUGAAAGUGUGGCUAAUACGGGAUAUUCUGGGUCUGUCGCAUGAUGGGUCUGGGAAAGAUAUUGUUUCGGUGGGGGAUGGGCUCGCGGCCUAUCAGCUUGUUGGUGGGGUGAUGGCCUACCAAGGCGGUGACGGGUAGCCGGCCUGAGAGGGUGGACGGUCACGCUGGGACUGAGACACGGACCAGACUCCUACGGGAGGCAGCAGUGGGGAAUAUUGCACAAUGGGCGCAAGCCUGAUGCAGCGACGCCGCGUGAGGGAUGGAGGCCUUCGGGUUGUGAACCUCUUUCGCCAGUGAAGCAGGCCUGCCUCGUUUGUGGGUGGGUUGACGGUAGCUGGAUAAGAAGCGCCGGCUAACUACGUG
rnacentral:rRNA from 1 species